rnacentral:rRNA from 1 species
CCUACGGGGUGCACCAGUGGGGAAUAAUGCACAAUGGGCGCAAGCCUGAUGCAGCCAUGCCGCGUGUGUGAAGAAGGCCUUCGGGUUGUAAAGCACUUUCGGCGGGGAGGAAGGCGAUAAGGUUAAUAACCUUGUCGAUUGACGUUACCCGCAGAAGAAGCACCGGCUAACUCCGUGCCAGCAGCCGCGGUAAUACGGAGGGUGCAAGCGUUAAUCGGAAUUACUGGGCGUAAAGCGCACGCAGGCGGUCUGUCAAGUCGGAUGUGAAAUCCCCGGGCUCAACCUGGAAACUGCAUUCGAAACUGGCAGGCUUGAGUCUCGUAGAGGGGGGUAGAAUUCCAGGUGUAGCGGUGAAAUGCGUAGAGAUCUGGAGGAAUACCGGUGGCGAAGGCGGCCCCCUGGACGAAGACUGACGCUCAGGUGCGAAAGCGUGGGGAGCAAACAGGAUUAGAUACCCCUGUAGUC